rnacentral:rRNA from 1 species
UACGAAGGGGGCUAGCGUUGUUCGGAAUUACUGGGCGUAAAGCGCACGUAGGCGGAUUUGUAAGUCAGGGGUGAAAUCCCGGGGCUCAACCUCGGAACUGCCUUUGAUACUGCAAGUCUCGAGUCCGAUAGAGGUGAGUGGAAUUCCUAGUGUAGAGGUGAAAAUUCGUAGAUAUUAGGAAGAACACCAGUGGCGAAGGCGGCUCACUGGAUCGGUACUGGACGCUGAGGUGCGAAAGCGUGGGGAGCAACAGG